UAGGGAAUCUUCCACAAUGGACGAAAGUCUGAUGGAGCAACGCCGCGUGAGUGAAGAAGGGUUUCGGCUCGUAAAACUCUGUUGUUAAAGAAGAACAUAUCUGAGAGUAACUGUUCAGGUAUUGACGGUAUUUAACCAGAAAGCCACGGCUAACUACGUGCCAGCAGCCGCGGUAAUACGUAGGUGGCAAGCGUUGUCCGGAUUUAUUGGGCGUAAAGCGAGCGCAGGCGGUUUUUUAAGUCUGAUGUGAAAGCCUUCGGCUCAACCGAAGAAGUGCAUCGGAAACUGGGAAACUUGAGUGCAGAAAAGGACAGUGGAACUCCAUGUGUAGCGGUGAAAUGCGUAGAUAUAUGGAAGAACACCAGUGGCGAAGGCGGCUGUCUGGUCUGUAACUGACGCUGAGGCUCGAAAGUAUGGGUAGCAAACAGG
rnacentral:rRNA from 1 species